rnacentral:lncRNA from 1 species
UGGGAUCGAGUUGGAGAGGAAUGAAGUUGUUCAAGACCACCCGGGAGCAGACUCGACGUCAUGGCUCGAUGACACGUCGAGUAGGACGCCAAGAAGCCGACUGAGAGCAGACUCGACCAGACGGACUCGACGUCACGUCGAGUUGGACGUCAAGGCACCACCUUUGAAGAUCACAUGGACUCGACGUGGCAGGCUCGACGUCACGUCGAGUUGGUCUCCGCCGACUCUCUAUUUUGUCUUGUAGCUAAUUAGGGCAACCUAGUAUUUCCUAUAAAUAGGGGUACAUGCUAUUGUCCAGCGGAUAUUCUUUUUACCCAGCAGAUAUUCCGCUGCUCUCUCUAAAAACCCUAGUUUUGUAAUCGUUUUUCCUGCUGAAUCUUUGAGUUUUUGCAUUUCUUUUCUUCAUCAAAGUUGUAGAUCUAUCUCUUAUCUAUAACAUACUUGCUUUUCAAUGAUUUCUGGGUUUGAAACGUUUUCUGGGUUUUUAUGCAUGAUGUUCUUCAGUGUUCUUGAGUAGUGGAUUAGGGUUCUUGAGGAUGGGUUAGAUUAGGUGUGGAAUCCUUAGUAUAUUUAGGUGGUUAAGUGUAGAAUUGCUUGAUUUCCCUUCUGGUUUAGUAGAUCUUAAUGCUACUUCCUCUCUGAUCAAUUGGAAGUUGAUCUCAGACAUUUCCACACCCACAAGGUGUUUGAUGAAAUGUUUGAACAAACUUUUCCAGAGAUUUGCAUACUCUAGCCCAAGAGAUUGGAUGUUUAGAAUGCUUAUUGACUAUAUUAGAUUGAAUCAUAAUGCCUGCUAGGUUAUAUUUCUUCAAUGAGAAUUGAAUAUGAAAGUGAUUUAGCUUGAGAAUCUCUGUCACGAGAGUGGAUUGAUUUGUAUUUGAAUCUAUUGUCUAGGGAUAGCUUGAUUGAGUUUGUUAACCACCUAGAUAGACUAAGGAGACUGCUAUAAUCGAUUACCCCAUUCCUCAGGACCUUUUAUCUCUAUUGAUUGCUUGAAUCUUGUUUCUGUUAGUCUCUGUUGCUUAGCUCGACCUGUUAGGCCUAGAUCGUUUCUUUGCAUUGUUAGGUUGCUAGUUUCUUUUCCAAAGCUUAUGCAUGAUAGUUUCUGGUCUUUAGUUUACUUCUUGCUCUUGUUUACUUGCUGUUUAGUUCUCUUUUUAUGCUUUUAAAUUCGGUAUUUGCAUGUUAAAUUGGUUGCUUAGGAUCAAUAGAAACACACAAAACCGUUUCAUAAUUGGCUUGACUUAUCUGCUUUCUGUUUCAUAUCUUGAAUGCUUGCAGUCACACUGAGAUUGGAUUGAUAAACCUGAUAUACUACAAUGGCAUGUGUAUUAGGGAUUGAUACUUGUUCAAGAGAGAGAAAACUCUAUUAUCAAUUUGGCGCCGUUGCCAGUCUUGUGUUGCAUUGUUCCAUUUAAGAUUUCAGAAACGUUUAAGAUCAAGUUCUUUUUUUACCUUGGUUACUAACUCUUCAUUUCAUCUGCUUGUUUUUGUGCUCCAGGUACCAUCUCGACCUCACGUCGAGACUGCCACAUCGAGUCCGACCACUCUGCAUGCAAACUCGAUCUAAAGGCUCCAACAACCUCAUCAGCUAUAAAGACAACAUCGAUCGGUUAGCUCGUGAGUUAAGAGAAGGUAGAGCCCGAGACAACUGUGAACCGCACAAUCCAGUAGCCAUGGAACCACAAGAUCAACAUAAUCAAGGAGUUGGUAUACCACGGAACAUUGGUGAUGGUGAUGCACCACGCAACCAUCAACAGAGACAGGGCAUCGUUCCACCUCCUGUCCAGAACAACAAUUUCGAGAUCAAGAGUGGAUUGAUCUCAAUGAUUCAAGGUAACAAGUUUCAUGGGUUGCCUCUGGAAGACCCCUUGGAUCACUUGGAUAAUUUUGAUAGGCUCUGCAGCCUCACCAAGAUCAAUGGUGUUAGUGAAGACAGCUUCAAGCUACGUCUGUUUCCCUUCUCGCUGGGAGACAAAGCACACCACUGGGAGAAGACACUACCUGCUGGCUCCAUCACAUCUUGGGAUGAUUGCAAGAAGGCAUUCUUAACAAAGUUCUUCUCCAAUUCAAGAACUGCACGUCCUAGGAAUGAAAUCUCCAGUUUUAGCCAAAAGCAGUCUGAAUCCAUUUGUGAGGCCUGGGAGAGAUUCAAAGGCUACACUAUACAGUGUCCACACCAUGGUUUCAAGAAGGCUUCACUACUCAGCACACUCUACAGGGGAGUUUUGCCCAAGAUCAGAAUGUUGCUAGACACUGCCUCUAAUGGGAAUUUCUUGAAUAAGGAUGUUGAGGAAGGCUGAGAAUUGAUAGAGGACUUACCUCUAUCUGAUGGUAACUAUAACGAGGAUUUUGAUCGCUCCAACAGAGGUAUUGGAGAUCUGGAUGCAAAGCAUACUAAAGAGAUGGUAAAGGCUCUCAACGACAAGCUGGAUAAAUUUCUGCUUACUAACCAGAAACCAGUCCACUAUAUCACUGAAGAAGAGCACUAUCAAAUCCAAGAGGGGGAGAACACUCAGGCUGCAGAAGUCAGCUACGUUCAGAACCAAGGUGGCUACAACAAGGGCUACAACCCCUACAAGCCUGCUCAUCCUAAUCUAUCUUACCGGAGCACGAAUGUUGCAAACCAUCAAGAUCAGGUUUACCCUCAGCAACAACAGAACCAGUCCAAGCCAUUCAUACCGUACAAUCAAGACUUUGUCCCAAUGCAGCAGUUUAGUGGCGGUUAUCAACAAUAUAAUCCACCACCCGGUUUUGCACAGCAACCCCAGCCAGCUCCACCUGCCCAAGAUCAAGACAUGAAGCAAAUGCUUCAGCAGAUUCUACACGGCCAAGUAGCUGGUGAUAAGAAGAUGGCUGAGAUUCAAAACAAGAUUGAGGCUUUGAACUCCAGGAUUAAGUACAUGGAGAGCCAAUUUGCCUCUACUUCUGCGCCUUAGAAUCUAGGGCAACUGCCAGGGAAAGCUAUUCAGCAUCAAAAAGGUCAUGUUAAUGCUAUUCACCUCCGCAGUGGUCGAGAGCUGCGAGCUCGACCUAACCAAGCUCCUGUCACUGAGGACAGUGAGAUUCAGGAAGGGGAGGAUUCUAUUCAGAAUGAAACCCAAGUAGAAGACACCACUAAGCUUGACCAAGAUGUUGUACCUAGAGAUCAAGCUAAGAGUCCCCAAAUCGAAAAAUCAACUGUUGAUAAGGGUAAGAAGAAAGCUUUCGUUCCACCACCCUACAAGCCCAAAAUACCAUUCCCAGGAAGAUUCAAGAGGGAUAUCAUUGAGAAGUACAGAGCCAUGUUUGCUAAACACAUCAAGGAGAUUGAAUUAAGGAUGCCUCUCAUUGAUGCUUUCAUGCUGAUUCCGGAUUCUCACAAGUACUUGAAGGACAUGAUAAUGGAGAGAAUUAAGGAAGUGCAAGGGAUGGAGAGUCAUGAGUGCAGUGAAAUCAUCUAAACGAAGAUUAUUCCCAAGAAAUUAGGAGAUCCUGGUUCGUUUACUUUACCUUGCUCUCUAGGCACUUUGGCCUUCAGUAACUGCCUCUGCGAUCUAGGUGCUUUUAAAAGCCUCAUGCCUCUCUCCGUGGCCAAGAGACUGGGUUUCAGCAAGUAUAAACCUUGCAACAUCUCCUUGAUCCUGGCUGAUGAGUCUAUCAGAUUUCCUCAUGGGUUAUUAGAAGAUUUGCCUAUUAAGAUUGGAAAUGCUGAAAUCCCUACAGACUUCAUAGUGCUAGAAAUGGAUGAACCAAAAGAUCCUUUAAUCUUAGGAAGGCCCUUCUUAGCCACUGUUGGAGCUGUCAUUGAUGUUAAGAAUGGGAAGAUUGAUCUUAAUCUGGGAAAUGAUUUCACAAUGAAGUUUGACAUCAAUGAUGCCACGAGGAAGCCAACAAUUGAAGGACAGACCUUCGUAGUUAAGGUAAUGGAUUGCCUAGCUGAUGAACAGCUAGAGGAGGUUGCUGAGGAAGAUCACAAAAAAACUUCUUUGACUAAGAGUGGUGAAGCAGGAUAUCUUCUCACUGAAACCUUGAGAUGUGGUAAGUCACUAGACUCACACAAGGAAGUAGCAGGGUCAGAGGUCUUUAAAGGCUUGAUUGAGCCAGAAACAGAGGUUAAGGUGGCAUAUGAAGCAAGCUCAACACAUGCUCAACCAACUGACUCGAGUAUACAUUUGAGCAAGCCUUCAACUAGUCUGGAGAACUCUAGCUCGACCAAACAUCGUGAUUAGCUGCUAGAGUCUAGCAAUUCUGCUCCAGAUGGCUGGUUAGAACUCAAGGAGAGGUCCAAAUGGCAGGAUAAAGCCAUAAGGGAGCUAACAGGCACUGUGAGAGAGCUGAAGGAUCAAAUCAAGAAGCUCCAUGGAAUAGCCAACCAAGUACCACUCCAAAUCAAGGACAUCCCAAAUGAUGAAGCGUCUACUCUGGUCAGCGCAAAAGUAAGUGAAUUCACUUUAGAAUGGUCUAUAGCAGAAGACUAUCCAGUUGAUCAACAAGAAGCUUACUAUGAGAAAAGGGCCAUUGAGUACUCAACUGCAGAUUUAUCAAGAGGGCGUGCUAAGUUUGAUGAUUCAUCCACCUGCAGGACAGAGGAGACCUCAUUUGCUCUCUACAAUCCACCCUAAGCUCAUUCAGUGUGAGAAGUCAAGCUAAAGACUUUAAACAAGCUCACUUGGGAGGAAGUCCCAUGUCUAUCCUCGUAAAUAUUAGUUAUUUCCUUGUUAUUUUUGAUGUUUUUGCUUAAGUGUCUCAGGAUAAAGCGUUUUAAGGAAGCCAAGGCGCAAAACAGAAUGAGUGGCCUUGACUCGACCUGCCCUCCUCGACGUGAAGUCGAGCUUGCCCCUUGGUGUCACUCCAAACCAAAACCAAAGCCCUACUCGACGUACCUGCUCGAUGAGACGUCGAGUUAGCCCAUGAAGCCCACCAGUACCAGGUCAAUCACCUCCUUCUUCACCCAUCCAUGAGGUAACAACUCCAAUUCACCAUUGUAUAUAAGACAUUUCAUUUUGUUUCUCUGAUUGGUUUGCCCUGAGUACUCUCUUCCAAAUGCUUGUUACACAGAGGACUGUGUAAUUUAAGUUUGGGGGAGGGCUCAGGGAGUAUUUGACAUUGCGUUUUAUUUUCUUAUUUCAAAUUUUGCAUCAUUGCAUCUAAGGCAUAGAAAAACCAUAAAAAUUUGAAAUUUUUCGAAAAUGAUUUCAUAAAAACAGAGUGUUCAUAUAGCUUGCAUUGUCAUUUUAGGACUGUUUUAGUAUGCUUUCAUUUAGGACUGUUGCAUCAUGCAUUUGCAUUGGAGAUUAUGAUGAUUAUAACCUUGUAAAUAUGCUUAUUCACUAAGUAGAACUCAGUGCCCUGGUUGUUAGCUCUCUAAUGCAUAAUCGACUGAACUUGAAGUAAGACCGCACCAUCUUUUGAAUUCAACGCUUGACUUUCUUGUUUUUAGUCGAAUCUCGCUUUGAUCUGAUGCCAUUCCCUAUCUAUCUGAACUUGAAUUUUGACUUAUAAUUAUCAUGCUGUGCAUUGUGCUAUGAACUCAUGGAUACCUUAAAAUACUUGGACUUUCUUUUACCUUUUGAUCACUCUUGCUAGUCCAAGUAGCUGACUCCCAUCUUUGGAGCAGUUAUUCCCCACCCUUAGCCUUAACCUUCUUUCAAUCCAUUUAUCAUUUGUGUGUGAAUGUGAGGCCUUAUUCCGCUUGAGCUUGGUAGAAAGUGUUAGGUCUGUAACGACAAGGAUAGUAUCUCAUGUAGUUCUGGUUCACGUUAUCUGGACCAGAUAGGACUAGGUGGGUGCUUAAUUCUGGGUUUGGGUUGUGUUUAAAAGAAAGAAAAGGUUGUGUUCAUCAUUGAAAGAAAAGGAAAGGGAAAAGAGUCCUAAGGAGAAGUAGCUAAAGUAAGAGAAGUCUAGUAAAGGAUUUGGGUGUGCUAAAGUAAAGUAAAAAGGGUUCUGUAAAUAGCUUAAAGAGAUUGGGCAAAAGCCUUGUGUUUAUAAGAAGAAAGAAAAGGGAACCCUAGUUGUUAAAGAAUCCUAAUCCGCUAGACAGAGCAAAGUAAGAAUGCUUCUCCUAGGAUAGAAAAGCAAAGAAAAGAAAGGAAUGGUGUGAGUAAAAGUCUGUAACUGUUUGGAGUGCAAAAAGGGUAGAGUUAAGUUCAUGUUCUGGGAUUAGAAAUAGGACCUCCAUUUGAGUUGAUUACAUUCUGGGUAGAUGGAGUCUUAUCCUUGUAUGCAUAACUUGAUACUCACCUUUAGCAUUCUACUAAAGCUCAAUCAUUCUUGAGAGAUCCCCUGUUACGAUUUAAGCCAGAUCUUUAAGGGACCAUCUUUGUCUCUAAAACCUUUGCCCUUUAGCCAAAUGUGUUUAUAUCCAUUGCAUAGUAUGAUUCACGGUUCCUACUUAAUAAAUGUUAAAGGGAAUGUGCAGAUUUGAAUGCUUGAUUUGAUUAAAGCAGAAGUUAGGUUGAGAUGUGAAGGAGAUGGCUAAUGUUUUUAAGUAGAGAUCAGUCAACCUUGCACUCUAGAAUUAGCAACCUGGACAUUGAAUUCACUUACUCUAUAUGCAUGUUUUGGUUCUGAGUCUCCACCUUCAAACCUCUUCUCCAGCUUGGUUCUAUCUGUUUGCUUGAGGGCAAGCAAGAGCUAAGUUUGGGGGAGUUGAUAUCUCUGUAUUUUACCUCUUUUUAGCACACAUUUCUUAUACAUUUAGCUUAGUUCCCUCUCUGUUUCAUUGCAUUAAUAGUCCUUUUUAAAACAUUUUCAUCGCUUAGUACGAUUUGCAUUGCAUAGCAUAGCAUGUUACAUAUUGGAUGAGUUUCAGGUACUUUGGAGCUUAUUUAGGACUUAAUGGAGCAAUGAGGAACCAACACGACCUUGGAGCUAGAAUUGGGAUCGAGUUGGAGAGGAAUGAAGUCGUUCAAGACCACCCGGGAGCAGACUCGACGUCAUGGCUCGAUGACACGUCGAGUAGGAUGCCAAGAAGCCGACUGGGAGCAGACUCGACCAGACGGACUCGACAUCACGUCGAGUUGGACGUCAAGGCGCCACCUUUGAAGAUCACAUGGACUCGACG